ensembl:lncRNA
CAGAAUCUGGUUGUCCUUAAUGGGUGUAGAUUGGAUUCUGCCUCCCGUCCUUUUUACAGGCUCCUUCACUCACACACAGACAGAGCUGCAGUGCUAUUCUGAGAGAGUUAGCUGCCUCAACCCACGCACAGAAUCUGAGGAAGGCAGAACGAGAGAGAAUAGAGGAGAAGGACACGGAACAAGAGGAAUGAAGGAGUGAGAAAGAGACUGUGAAGGAGCGGCUGAUCCACAGUCUCGAUUAGCGCUCUUCUGCGCGGCGCUGCCUGCAAAUUGCAGGUCUGUUUUUGCGACGCUGUUUGUGUGAUGUGCUGUGUUGUAUUGCGGACACAUUCCAGGUGGGGUCGACGUGUAAACUCGUGUGAGAAAAUCUGGAAAUCAAGCAGAACAUUUAGAGACGACAGAGGGAGACUUUUGAAACAGUCGGUUGGAGAACCGCUGCCUUUUGUGUUUCUCGUUUUUUCUCCCCCUGAACUCUCCUCAGAAGGUCAGAGGAGCAUGUAACUGAAACAAGUGGAGCCCUCGGUGAUUUCAGCAUUCUGUCUCCCCCAUCUGUGCCUACUUUCUCCGCUACAGAUAGGGACAUUUUUGAUAAUUACAUAUAAUUAUAAUUUCUGUGGGAGACGGAUCUGCCUCUGUCUAUUAUUGCCAACACCUCCGACACAAUAACUUCACACAUUUACAUAUUUCUCAACAAAAGUGAUAUUCUUUGAACAAAUCAGGAAUGAUUUUACUUCGAGAGACAUGUCACAUGGAGAUGCAAUGUCUCAUUCAGUUCACAUGUAAUUAAUGAUUCCGUUGAAUGACGGGUAACUUUUUGUGGCUAAACGCUGAAUAGAGAGCAUUUAAAAUCCAGAACGUUUGCCUCAUUUUGCAGCGCUGGGAGUCAGUUCCUUGGUUUAUGCUUACUCUUGAUUUUCAUCUGUUUCAGUCUUCUAGCACUCAAGCUGAGUUUCCCUCAUUAUCGCCCCCCUGCUCAAUCACAGUUGCGGUCGGUACCAGACGACGACGGAUGCACAUGAAUCCAACACCGGAAAAGAUUGAGAUAAAGAACACGGUGUAUCUACAGAUGUGGCGUUGAGAUUCGUGCUCUAGAGAGGCUCAGCAUCCUUAACAGACAUCUGUGUCUGUUGACCCCAUUUGAUUACUUACAAUGCUGAUAAACCCAAUAUAUAGGAAGUGCGUUAUAG